rnacentral:rRNA from 1 species
GACGGGGGAUGCAAGCGUUAUCCGGAAUCACUGGGCGUAAAGCGUCCGUAGGUGGUUUGGCAAGUCUGGGGUUAAAGCCCGGAGCCUAACUCCGGAUCGGCCCUGGAAACUGCCAGACUAGAGUAAGGUAGGGGUUGCGGGAAUUCCCGGUGUAGCGGUGAAAUGCGUAGAUAUCGGGAAGAACACCAGUGGCGAAAGCGCGCAACUGGGCCAUUACUGACACUGAGGGACGAAAGCUAGGGGAGCGAAUGGG